GACGAACGCUGGCGGCGUGCCUAACACAUGCAAGUCGAGCGGUGAAGUUUUGUGCUUGCACCGAUUUGAAGAGCAGCGCACGGGUGAGUAACGUGUGGGGAAUCUGCCUUUGAGCGGGGGACAACCUUGGGAAACGAAUGCUAAUACCGCAUAACAACUUUAAACAUAAGUUUUAAGUUUGAAAGAUGCCAUUGCAUCACUCAAAGCUGAUCCCGCGUUGUAUUAGCUAGUUGGUGAGGUAAAGGCUCACCAAGGCGAUGAUCAAAAGCGGACGUGAGGGGCGGACGGCCGACAUGGGAAGGGGACAAGGCCCAAACCUCCUCGGGAAGGAGCAAGAGGGGAACUUCGGCCAUGGGCGGAAAGCCUGACGCAGAACGCCGCGGGAGGGAAGAAGGGUGUCGGGUCGGAAAAGUCGGUUUGUAGGGAAGAAAGUGGGUGAGGGUGGAAAGUGCAGUAAGUGACGGUAACGACACAAAAAGGGACGGCUAACUACGUG
rnacentral:rRNA from 1 species